AGACUCGUAGCGGAUAGCUCAGUAACACGUGGCCAAACUACCCUACAGAGAACGAUAACCUCGGGAAACUGAGGCUAAUAGUUCAUACCGUACCCGCGCUGGAAUGCCAGGUACACCAAACGCUCAGGCGCUGUAGGAUGUGGCUGCGGCCGAUUAGGUAGACGGUGGGGUAACGGCCCACCGUGCCGAUAAUCGGUACGGGUUGUGAGAGCAAGAACCCGGAGACGGAAUCUGAGACAAGAUUCCGGGCCCUACGGGGCGCAGCAGGCGCGAAACCUUUACACUGCACGACAGUGCGACAAGGGGACCCCGAGUGCGAGGGCAUACAGUCCUCGCUUUUGUGAACCGUAAGGUGGUUCACGAAUAAGAGCUGGGCAAGACCGGUGCCAGCCGCCGCGGUAAUACCGGCAGCUCGAGUGAUGACCGAUUUUAUUGGGCCUAAAGCGUCCGUAGCUGGCCGCGUAAGUUCAUCGGGAAAUCCAUCCGCUCAACGGAUGGGCGUCCGGUGAAAACUACACGGCUUGGAGCCGGAAGACCCAAGGGGUACGUCCGGGGUAGGAGUGAAAUCCCGUAAUCCUGGACGGACCGCCGAUGGCGAAAGCACCUUGGGAAGACGGACUCGACAGUGAGGGACGAAAGCUAGGGUCUCGAACCGGAUUAGAUACCCGGGUAGUCCUAGCCGUAAACGAUGCCUGUUAGGUGUGGCACCCACUACGAGUGGCUGCUGUGCCGUAGGGAAGCCGCUAAACAGGCCGCCUGGGAAGUACGUCCGCAAGGAUGAAACUUAAAGGAAUUGGCGGGGGAGCACUACAACCGGAGGAGCCUGCGGUUUAAUUGGACUCAACGCCGGACAUCUCACCAGCAUCGACAAUAGCGAUGAUUAUCAGGUUGAUGACCUCUAUACUGAGCUAUUGAGAGGAGGUGCAUGGCCGCCGUCAGCUCGUACCGUGAGGCGUCCUGUUAAGUCAGGCAACGAGCGAGACCCGCA
rnacentral:ncRNA from 1 species